GAUGAACGCUGGCGGCGUGCCUAAUACAUGCAAGUCGAGCGAACGGACGAGAAGCUUGCUUCUCUGAUGUUAGCGGCGGACGUGUGAGUAACACGUGGAUAACCUACCUAUAAGACUGGGAUCACUUCGGGAAACCGGAGCUAAUACCGGAUGAUAUUUUGAACCGCAUGGUUCAAAAGUGAUAUACGGUCUUGCUGUCACUUAUAGAUGGAUCCGCGCUGCAUUAGCUAGUUGGUAAGGUAACGGCUUACCAAGGCAACGAUGCAUAGCCGACCUGAGAGGGUGAUCGGCCACACUGGAACUGAGACACGGUCCAGACUCCUACGGGAGGCAGCAGUAGGGAAGCUUCCGCAAUGGGCGAAAGCCUGACGGAGCAACGCCGCGUGAGUGAUGAAGGUCUUCGGAUCGUAAAACUCUGUUAUUAGGGAAGAACAUAUGUGUAAGUAACUGUGCACAUCUUGACGGUACCUAAUCAGAAAGCCACGGCUAACUACGUG
rnacentral:rRNA from 1 species